rnacentral:rRNA from 1 species
UACGAAGGGGGCUAGCGUUGCUCGGAAUCACUGGGCGUAAAGCGCACGUAGGCGGAUCUUUAAGUCAGAGGUGAAAUCCCAAGGCUCAACCUUGGAACUGCCUUUGAUACUGGGGAUCUCGAGUCCGGAAGAGGUGAGUGGAACUGCGAGUGUAGAGGUGAAAUUCGUAGAUAUUCGCAAGAACACCAGUGGCGAAGGCGGCUCACUGGUCCGGUACUGACGCUGAGGUGCGAAAGCGUGGGGAUCAAACAGG